rnacentral:rRNA from 1 species
GCUUGGUGGGUAGUUUGACUGGGGUGGUCGCCUCCAAAAGAGUAACGGAGGCUUCUAAAGGUACCCUCAGCACGCUUGGUAACCGUGCGUAGAGUGCAAUGGCAUAAGGGUGCUUGACUGAGAGACUUACAAGUCGAUCAGGUUGGAAACAAGAGCAUAGUGAUCCGGUGGUUCCGCAUGGAAGGGCCAUCGCUCAAAGGAUAAAAGGUACUCCCGGGAUAACAGGCUGAUCUCCCCCAAGAGCUCAUAUCGACGGGGAGGUUUGGCACCUCG